AAAGUCAUAUCUAACUGGCAUGGGAAUUGACUGGUCCACGGUGCGAAAUGUCAUGGACAUGAGAGCUGUCUAUGGAGGAUUUGCUGCUGCAUUGAAAAAUUUGAAAGUGUGGGUUAUGAACGUUGUCUCAAUAGACUCUGCUGAUACUCUCCCAAUUAUCUACGAACGAGGUUUAUUUGGUAUAUAUCACGAUUGGUGCGAAUCAUUCAACACCUACCCAAGGUCGUACGACCUUCUUCACGCAGAUCAUCUUUUCUCCAAGGUCAAAACAAGGUGCAAUAUGGCCGCUUUAGUUGCAGAGACCGACCGGAUCCUCAGGCCAGAAGGGAAGCUCAUAGUUCGGGACAAUUCCAAAACAG
rnacentral:misc_RNA from 1 species